GCAAUAUGAUAAAAUUGAAAAAUUUCACAAAUGUCAGGAGAACAAGAUCUGGUGUCUGGGUUUCAACUCUUAGAGCUUCCCAGCUCGUAGCUAUGCUCCUGAAUUCCUCUGGCAGCCCUCCUCAAGGACCUCUGUGAGACAAAGUCAGAAAUGACUUCACUGGAGACCAAGAGAGCCCACAGAGCUCUUCCUGCUGCUUCUUCUACCCUUGUACUCACUCGGCUCUCUAAAUUUGUCUCAGCUCCAGACACGUGGGAAGAUUACCUUUCUCUGAUGUCUUGGGAUUGAACUGAGCUAUGUGGCUAGUUACAGGCCAAUAGGCUGUUAGCAGAUGUGACAUCUAACACAACUAGGCUGCAGUUUGAAAUAAAUACCAGUGCACAGCCUCCAGAAUUCCUCCCCUGCUAAGGUGACUGAGAAGACCUCAGCUGAGAUGGUGGGAAAAAAAAAUAUUCAAGCAGCUUGGAUAACGAAGUUCCUAAAUGGAAGAACAUUGUCCCAGAGAGUCACUUGAACCCAGAAUAGAUUUACGUGAUCAGACAAUAAACCUCUAUGACACCCUGA